rnacentral:rRNA from 1 species
AACGAACGCUGGCGGCAUGCCUAACACAUGCAAGUCGAACGAGACCUUCGGGUCUAGUGGCGCACGGGUGCGUAACGCGUGGGAACAUGCCCUUAGGUUCGGAAUAACGCCCCGAAAGGGGUGCUAAUACCGGCUAAUGUCUUCGGACCAACGAUUUAUCGACUUUGGAUGGGCCUGCGUUGGAUUAGCUAGUUGGUAGGGUAAAAGCCUACAAAGGCGACGAUCCAUAGCUGGUCUGAGAGGAUGAUCAGCCACACUGGGACGGGGACACGGUCCAGACUCCUACGGGAUGCAGCAGUGGGGAAUAUUGGACAAUGGGCGAAAGCCUGAUCCAGCAAUGCCGCGUGAGUGAUUAAGGCCUUAGGGUUGUAAAGCUCUUUUACCCGGGAUUAUAAUGACGGUACCGGGAGAAUAAGCUCCGGCUAACUCCGUG